rnacentral:rRNA from 1 species
AGAAUCAACGCUGGCGGCGUGCCUAACACAUGCAAGUCGAACGAGAAAGUGGAGCAAUCCAUGAGUAAAGUGGCGCACGGGUGAGUAACACGUGACUAACCUACCCUGGAGUGGGGGAUAACUGAGGGAAACCUUAGCUAAUACCGCAUAAUACCUACGGGUCAAAGGAGCAAUUCGCUUCAGGAGGGGGUCGCGGCCGAUUAGUUAGUUGGCGGGGUAAUGGCCCACCAAGACGAUGAUCGGUA